CACUGUGAAGCUAACAAGCAUUAACCUUUUAAGUUAAAGAUUGAAAGUCCCUAAACCUUUCCACAGUGAA
rnacentral:tRNA from 1 species